rnacentral:lncRNA from 1 species
CCUUAAACCUACAGACACAGCAAAGAAGCACCCACGCAUAGACUAUAUAUCUUGUCGAUCGAGAGAGAGAGAGAGAGAGAGAGAGAGAGAGAGAGAGCGAAUCAAACCAAGUGAAAGUGUAAAGGAAAACAAAAAACCAAAAAGCAAGAAACAAUGGUAGCUGCAACUCCAACCCAAUCUCUUUGUCAUGGCUCUUCUUCCUUGUCCUGGAGGCACAUCUCAUUGGAAAGCUGUCUCCAAUCUUCAAGGUAACUGCUUUUGGGUUUCUCAUUUAGUGCACAAAUUUAUUUCUCUUCUUUUGUUAUUGUUUUUUUUUUUUCCGCUGUGUUGCUGUUGUUUUGGGUUGCAUUGAACCAUCCAAGAGGGAAAGUCCUCAACUUGAAUUUAUUAGUCACAUUGGUGCUCAUGGGUUCGAUUGAGUUAAUGGGUUUCAUUCUCUGGUCCCAAAUGAUGGAAAGAUUUUAUAAAAGGAAGAAGGAAAGAUUCGCAUAUUUGGGUCCUUUUGAAAUUUACAUUUCCAGCAAGUUUUUCUCUUGUUUCAUAUGGGUGGGUAUAUAUCUUUAUUGCUUAGAUAAUUUUGAUAACCCUACCGAAUGCUGAACAAUGUUGCAUUCUGAAAUCUGAAUUUUUGGUGUUUAAUGGGUUCCAUUAUUCCAAGUAUUAUGAAUCUUUGUUGUAUGGGUCACUGUUGCAAAGUGGUGUGGGUUUCUUGAGUUAAUGGUUUGAGAGAGAGAAAUCAUACACUUUGCAAGUACAAAUCAAAUGCCAAUGUGAUAGUAGCUCCUUUGCCUUUCAAUUCAAAACUCUGUGACAUGCUAUUUCAUGACUGAAAGCGCAAAGAACUUUAGGAAACAUAGAAAGCCUUGCCUAAUAAUCUCUACAACACUGGAGCACCCCUUUUCAUCUACCCGCAUCAAAGCAUGUAGUUUGAAACAAGGUGAGAAGGAGCAGUGGAAAUUAAUAUCUGCACCAAGGACAUCUGAUACAAAUAGCUCUGCAGAGUUUGAAAGGGAAGAGAUAUAUAUCUGCUAAGGACCUCCAGGCCACCUCCUGGCUACCCUUAUGUACAAGUUAUAUGGUCAGAAUCACUGUUAAGGCUAGAAUUAAUUACCUUGACUGUAAUAAAUAAUGGAGAACAAAUGCAUCUUGUCAAUAGUAUUCAACUUGAUUUGAAUAUUAAUGGUGUGCAGUGGUUUGAGAGAAGAAUAGUUGCAACGAGCUUAGUGCCCAGUGGCUUUUUUCCCUUUUCUUUCCUGGAGGUUGUUCUUGGUACUGAGUAAAUGGCAUCAAACCAGAAAUUCAAUCUUCGGCUAAAGAAAGCAAUAAAAAGCCUGUGAGGUUUCAAGCGAAACAGAAAGUUGAAGCAGGCGACAAAGGUCUGUUUCUGUGAUGAGGUCCGGAAGUAACCUGAUUAAAUUUAUCAGGAUUCAAUAAUUGCCUCCAUUUAUGUCAUUGUGAGGUUUUUCUGAAGAAGUCGUCCAUAGGCUGGUAGAGCUGAAAGAAUAAGAGGUUAAGUCUAGAGGGGCCACACCUGAAAACUGAUGCCUUGAUUAAGAUAGAUUCCUAUCAGUCUUGGUUCCCCUGUUCUCCUUGUGUGAUUAUAUGGUCUUGUAGGGAAAUGGGAGAUGUUAGGCUUGAAGUCAUCGGACUGUUUUUAUUUACAACUGAAACUUAUUAAGAAGGAAGAACAAUGUUGCUCGAAGGUUUUCAUGUGAAUUGUGUGUGAGAAAAUAGAUGGCUACAAAACUGAUAUAUGAAUGUUGCAAACCUCAGAGUUAUUUCAUGAAAGGCAUCAUUGUUUCCCUAUUAAGUCUGGCUAAAAAGUUGGUUUGGGUGCAUUUGGCUUUUUGACUGUUUUGUGGGCUGCAGAUUGUGCUUUUGUUAAAUUUGAGGAAAUAAUAUUUUCUGUUUAUGGUAUUUGGAGUUGUCUCAUUCAAUUCUGUUGUCUUCAAUGCCAGAGGUAGCAGUGAUGCAUGCUUUAUGGACUUUGAAUGGUUCAAGUUUCAUACAGGAGUGAGCUCGCAAUUCUGCACAUCACUGCUGGAGUACGUUAAGCGAUAAGUGGUGUGUGGAGUAGGGAAUGAAGCUAUUGGUCCGUUGUGCAUUUAAAAAAUGUUACAAUUUGAUAGUUCUUGUGGAAGAAUUCAGAGAUCUUGACGUAAUUUGUAUUGUAGUCGUUGUACUGAAACUCUAUGGUCAUUCCAUAGGCUGAUUCUGUAAUUGUAUUGACUACGUUGUAUCUGAUUCAUCGUGAAGAAAUCUAAAUUUUAUUUUCCC